rnacentral:rRNA from 1 species
GAGAGGGAAACGCCCGGUCACAUUCCGAACCCGGAAGCUAAGACUCUCAGCGCCGAUGGUACUGCAGGGGGGACCCUGUGGGAGAGUAGGACACCGCCGGAC